GUAAUACUCCCUUCAUCCGAAAAUACUUGAGUACGAAUGGAUGUAUCUAGAUGUAUCUUAGUUUUAGAUACAUCCAUUUAGAUCCAUUUUUGUCACAAGUAAUUCCGGAUGGAGGGAGUAGUAU
rnacentral:pre_miRNA from 1 species